rnacentral:rRNA from 1 species
UACGGGAGGCAGCAGUGGGGAAUAUUGCACAAUGGGCGCAAGCCUGAUGCAGCCAUGCCGCGUGUAUGAAGAAGGCCUUCGGGUUGUAAAGUACUUUCAGUCGUGAGGAAGGUGUUAAGGUUAAUAACCUUAGCAAUUGACGUUAGCGACAGAAGAAGCACCGGCUAACUCCGUGCCAGCAGCCGCGGUAAUACGGAGGGUGCGAGCGUUAAUCGGAAUUACUGGGCGUAAAGGGCACGCAGGCGGUUAAUUAAGUUGGAUGUGAAAUCCCCGGGCUUAACCUGGGAAUGGCAUUCAAGACUGGUUAGCUAGAGUCUUGUAGAGGGGGUAGAAUUCCAUGUGUAGCGGUGAAAUGCGUAGAGAUGUGGAGGAAUACCGGUGGCGAAGGCGGCCCCUGGACAAAGGGACCUGACGCUCAUGUGCGAAAGCGUGGGGAGCAAACAGGGAUUAGAUACC